GACGAACGCUGGCGGCGUGCCUAAUACAUGCAAGUAGAACGCUGAAGAGAGGAGCUUGCUCUUCUUGGAUGAGUUGCGAACGGGUGAGUAACGCGUAGGUAACCUGCCUGGUAGCGGGGGAUAACUAUUGGAAACGAUAGCUAAUACCGCAUAAAAUGGAUUAUCGCAUGAUAAUCCACUGAAAGGUGCAAAUGCAUCACUACCAGAUGGACCUGCGUUGUAUUAGCUAGUUGGUGGGGUAACGGCUCACCAAGGCGACGAUACAUAGCCGACCUGAGAGGGUGAUCGGCCACACUGGGACUGAGACACGGCCCAGACUCCUACGGGAGGCAGCAGUAGGGAACCUUCGGCAAUGGACGGAAGUCUGACCGAGCAACGCCGCGUGAGUGAAGAAGGUUUUCGGAUCGUAAAGCUCUGUUGUAAGAGAAGAACGAGUGUGAGAGGGAAAGUUCACA
rnacentral:rRNA from 1 species